rnacentral:lncRNA from 1 species
GUUUCUACCCAAACAUAUCGGAAUAAGUGGUUGCAGGCAAGCAAAGCAUAUGAUGGUGCCCCUGUGGUUUUCAGAUGGCUCAGCAGAUGUAUUUGGUUCAAGAUUGGAGGGGGAGUGGCAGACAUACAGUUUGGCCAGUGAGGCUAUGAAACAAAGUGAGGCAAAAGGACACAGAAUGUUAGCCACCAUUGAGAUCCCAUGCACUCUAGUGAGGAUACUGCACAAACUGUGGAGAGUUGAGCUGUUCCUCAGCUGCAGUCCCCACCUUUCACUGGUUCUACUCACUCUUCUUUCCCCUUUUAAUGAGAUGCCAAAGAGAAACACCCCUUCCUUAAUGUUGCAGAUGGAAAGAACUAGCCCCAUGGCCUGGGACAAACCUCCUCCCCAAACCCCUUGUUCCUGGGUCCUGUCCUCACUGCUGUCAAAUGAUAGCUAAACCCCAGCAUGGAGGCAUGCUGUGUUGCCUUCCUCCCAAGGAGCAGAUUUUGCUCGCAAGCUCUCCCACCUUGGCUGCCUCCUGACCACAGUCAACAUGACUUUCAAAUCAAUAAAAUGUCCCCUUUUCUUUUGAAGCCA